GCAUCGGUGAUUCAGUGGUAGAAUUCUCGCCUGCCACGCGGGAGGCCCGGCUUCGAUUCCCGGCCAAUGCA
rfam:Canis lupus familiaris chromosome 38, whole genome shotgun sequence.